rnacentral:rRNA from 1 species
GUGGGGAAUCUUAGACAAUGGGGGAAACCCUGAUCUAGCCAUGCCGCGUGAGCGAUGAAGGCCUUAGGGUUGUAAAGCUCUUUCAGCUGGGAAGAUAAUGACGGUACCAGCAGAAGAAGCCCCGGCUAACUCCGUGCCAGCAGCCGCGGUAAUACGGAGGGGGCUAGCGUUGUUCGGAAUUACUGGGCGUAAAGCGCGCGUAGGCGGACCAGAAAGUUGGAGGUGAAAUCCCAGGGCUCAACCUUGGAACUGCCUUCAAAACUCCUGGUCUGGAGUUCGAGAGAGGUGAGUGGAAUUCCGAGUGUAGAGGUGAAAUUCGUAGAUAUUCGGAGGAACACCAGUGGCGAAGGCGGCUCACUGGCUCGAUACUGACGCUGAGGUGCGAAAGCGUGGGGAGCAAACAGGAUUAGAAACCCCGUAGUCC